CGUGUAGGCGGAUUCGGAAGUCGGGUGUGAAAGCCUGGGCUCAACUCAGGAAGUGCGCCCGAAACCACGAAUCUAGAGGUCCGGAGGGGAUCGGGGAAUUCCCAGUGUAGAGGUGAAAUUCGUAGAUAUUGGGAGGAACACCGGCGGCGAAGGCGCCGAUCUGGACGGAUUCUGACGCUCAAACGCGAAAGCGUGGGUAGCAAACAGGAUUAGAUACCCUGGUAGUCCACGCUGUAAACGAUGUGCACUAGGUGUCGUGGGUAUUGACCCCCGCGGUGCCGACGCUAACGCAUUAAGUGCACCGCCUGGGAAGUACGGCCGCAAGGUUGAA
rnacentral:rRNA from 1 species